rnacentral:rRNA from 1 species
GUGGAUUAGAUACCCCGGUAGUCCACGCCGUAAACGAUGAGUGUUAGAUGUUGCGGGCUUUGACUCCUGCAGCGUCGUAGCUAACGCAUUAAACACUCCGCCUGGGAAGUACGGCCGCAAGGCUAAAACUCAAAGGAAUUGACGGGGGCCCGCACAAGCGGUGGAGCAUGUGGUUUAAUUCGACGCAACGCGAAGAACCUUACCUGGGCUAGAAAACAUAGGAACCUGGUAGAAAUAUCGGGGUGCUCUUCGGAGAAUCUAUGGUUAGGUGCUGCACGGUUGUCGACAGCU